rnacentral:rRNA from 1 species
GUCACACAUGCCUAGCUCUAGCGAGGGGUAACGUAGCUUGCUACCAGACCUAGCGGCGGACGGGUGAAUAAUGGUUAGAAUCUGCCUAUUAGUGGGGGACAACAUCUCGAAAGGGAUGCUAAUACCGCAUACGUCCUACGGGAGAAAGCAGGGGAUCUUCGGACCUUGCGCUAAUAGAUGAGCCUAAGU